ensembl:snRNA U6 U6 spliceosomal RNA
GUGCUUUGCUUCAGCAGCACUUAUGCUAAAAACAAUUGGAAUGGUACAGAGAAGAUUCACAUGACCCCCGUGUGAGGAUGACAUGCAAAUUCAUGAAGCAUUUCAUUUUUUU